CUGGCCUGGUUGGUGGCCACCUUUUGUGAGUCCUCUGGGCUGGGCAGCUGCUGGCACCCUGGCAGCUCCCGUGGGCCUCGCUCCCCCACCGCCCCAACGCCCCCUCGGCACCUGGAACGACUGAUCUGGGUGGAAGUCCGACGUCCCUUGAAUCAACAAGUAUGUCCUCUUCUUGGCCAGGAUGUGCUCGCAGCCCAUGCAGGAGGCUUGGAUGAAGUAGGAGAUGUGGCCGGUUUUGCUGGAGAAGGUGGAGGGCAGCCUGGGAGCCUGCUUGUCAUGGCCGGUCGCCACAGCAGACACAAAGGCCUGAAGUUCCCAGAGACCUAUCUGCUGCAUCAGAUGCAGGGGCCCUGCUCUGGAGCUUGGCACAGAUGGACGUCUGUUCAGCACGGGCUUCAGAUGACCUCUCUGCUGUAAUCACGGGAGGCCCCGAUCUCCUCGUUCCACUCGACGUAGCCCCUCCCCACGAGCUCCACCUUCACCACGGGGUCCACCAGGGUGCUGUUCAGGGUGGAAGGAGAGGCCCAGAGAGGCCUGAAGGCAUCUGCCGUCCUACCAGGUGUCCCCAGGUUCGGUGCCACAUUUGAUCAUUUUCCUGUUGAAGGCUCUUCAUUAUCUGGUCUGUAUUGGAAAAAAAGUUAUAGAUGGGGACAGGACACGGCAUCUGAUGGGUACUGCAGACGCUCAGGUCCCCUGGACUCACCCUGGACACCCAGACCACCUGGAACCUGUCCUCUCGCAUGACUGACAUUUCUCCUUAAACCUGCUCUCCCCACUGGGUAAGUCCCUUCAGAGGGAGGCUGUGUCAGGGAGGUUCGUGCCCACCAACGUGUGCCCGACCCAGAUCAGCAAGGCUAAUGGUAGUGUCAAUAAAAGUUUGUUGAGUGA